rnacentral:rRNA from 1 species
UACGGAGGGUGCAAACGUUGCUCGGAAUUAUUGGGCGUAAAGCGCACGUAGGCGGCUCGUUAAGUCGGAUGUGAAAGCCCGCGGCUCAACCGCGGAAGUGCAUCCGAAACUAAUGAGCUUGAGUAUGGAAGAGGGUCUCGGAAUUCCCGGUGUAGAGGUGAAAUUCGUAGAUAUCGGGAGGAACACCUGUGGCGAAAGCGGCUCACUGGACCAUAACUGACGCUGAUGCACGAAAGCUAGGGGAGCAAACAGG